UGGGGAAUUUUGGACAAUGGGCGAAAGCCUGAUCCAGCAAUGCCGCGUGUGUGAAGAAGGCCUUCGGGUUGUAAAGCACUUUUGUCCGGAAAGAAAUCCUUGGCUCUAAUACAGUCGGGGGAUGACGGUACCGGAAGAAUAAGCACCGGCUAACUACGUGCCAGCAGCCGCGGUAAUACGUAGGGUGCAAGCGUUAAUCGGAAUUACUGGGCGUAAAGCGUGCGCAGGCGGUUUGCUAAGACCGAUGUGAAAUCCCCGGGCUCAACCUGGGAACUGCAUUGGUGACUGGCAGGCUAGAGUAUGGCAGAGGGGGGUAGAAUUCCACGUGUAGCAGUGAAAUGCGUAGAGAUGUGGAGGAAUACCGAUGGCGAAGGCAGCCCCCUGGGCCAAUACUGACGCUCAUGCACGAAAGCGUGGGGAGCAAACAGGAUUAGAUACCCUGGUAGUCCACGCCCUAAACGAUGUCAACUAGUUGUUGGGGAUUCAUUUCCUUAGUAACGUAGCUAACGCGUGAAGUUGACCGCCUGGGGGAGUACGGUCGCAAGAUUAAAACUCAAAGGAAUUGAC
rnacentral:rRNA from 1 species